rnacentral:tRNA from 2 species
CGUAGCUCAGGUGGUUAGAGCGCACGCCUGAUAAGCGUGAGGUCGGUGGUUCGAGUCCACUCG